rnacentral:lncRNA from 1 species
AUGCCUGUCACCGCCACCGUCGCCGUUCACCACUGUGCUCCCAGCUUCGGCGGCAAACCUCAGCCCAUCUGCCUGGGAGCCGAGGAAAAAGCCCCAUCACCACCGUCCUUCCACUGCGCGCACUCCCGGCAGCCAGCUCAAGCAGGGGCGAGACGGGCGGAUGCGAGCGGAGGGGAAGAAUCGGGAAAGGGCUCUCGCAUCGCCCUCUCCACGGGCGACACGAGAGGUGACGCCGCCACCGUCUUCUUCCUCCUCCUCCCCUCCUUCUCUGCCUCGCCGCCGCCUGAGCGGGCGCCGGCAAAGUCGCGCGGCCGCAGGGACGGUGGCGGCGGGGCUUCGCCUCAGCGCGCGCUCGGCGGCCCGGGGAGCUGGCCGGGCGGCGACGGUGGCAAACCGUCCGAAUCCGCGCCCGCCUGGCCGGAUCCGGCGGGGCAGCGCUUGGCGGCGGGGCGGAGUGGUGGCGGCGGUGACUGGCGGUGCCUGGGCCGGCGGCGGCGGAAACCCCCGCCCAGAUCCGCGCUAUUUUGGCCAGAUUUGGUGGGGCUGACGCCGGGCGACGGCGGGCGGCAGGGAAGCAGGCGUGCUGGCAGCGGGGAAGAGGCGGCGACGGUUGCGCGGGCGGCGCAGCUGAGGUCGUGGGCGACGCGGUCAGGCGCGUGUGAGCGUCACCAACGGCGGUUGAGGCCGUUUGCCCGAAGGCCGGUGAGGAUGGCGACGCGGGGCAAGCUCACGGCGGUGGCGGAGCAAGCUCGCGGC